rnacentral:rRNA from 1 species
UGGGGGAUAUUGCACAAUGGGCGAAAGCCUGAUGCAGCGACGCCGCGUGGGGGAUGAAGGCUUUCGGGUUGUAAACCUCUUUCGCUAUCGAACAAGGCCCGCUUAGGGUGGGUUGAGGGUAGGUGGAGAAGAAGCGCCGGCUAACUACGUGCCAGCAGCCGCGGUAAUACGUAGGGCGCGAGCGUUGUCCGGAAUUAUUGGGCGUAAAGGGCCUGUAGGCGGCUUGUUGCGCCUGCUGUGAAAACGCGGGGCUUAACUUCGCGCGUGAAGUGGGUACGGGCAGGCGUGAGUGUGGUAGGGGUGACUGGAAUUCCAGGUGUAGCGGUGGAAUGCGCAGAUAUCUGGAGGAACACCGAUGGCGAAGGCAGGUCACUGGGCCAUUACUGACGCUGAGGAGCGAAAGCAUGGGUAGCGAACAGG